rnacentral:lncRNA from 1 species
AUGGUAUCAAGGAACAGAGUAAACAAUGGUAUCAAGGAACAGAGUAAACAAUUGUAUCAAGGGAGGCCAACGUUCUACAUUCUACAGGCCAACAUUCUACAUUCUACAGGCCAAAAUUCUACAUUCUACAGGCCAACAUUCUACAUUCUACAGGCCAACAUUCUACAUUCUACAGGCCAACAUUCUAAUUUCUACAGGCCAACAUUCUACAUUCUACUGGCCAACAUUCUACUGACCAACAUUCUACAUUCUACAGGCCAACAUUCUACAUUCUACAGGCCAACAUUCUACAUUCUACAGGCCAACAUUCUACAUUCUACUGGCCAACAUUCUACAUUCUACAGGCCAACAUUCUACAUUCUACUGGCCAACAUUCUACAUUCUACUGGCCAACAUUCUACAUUAUACUGGCCAACAUUCUACAUUCUACUGGCCAACAUUCUACAUUCUACUGGCCAACAUUCUACAUUCUACAGGCCAACAUUCUACAUUCUACAGGCCAACAUUCUACAUUCUACUGGCCAACGUUCUACAUUCCACAGGCCAACAUUCUACAUUCUACAGGCCAACAUUCUACAUUCUACAGGCCAACAUUCUACAUUCUACAGGCCAACAUUCUACAUUCUACUGGCCAACAUUCUACAUUCUACAGGCCAACAUUCUACCGGCCAACAUUCUACAUUCUCCUGGCCAACAUUCUACAUUCUACAGGCCAACAUUCUACAUUCUACAGGCCAACAUUCUACAUUCUACUGGCCAACGUUCUACAUUCCACAGGCCAACAUUCUACAUUCUACAGGCCAACAUUCUACAUUCUACAGGCCAACAUUCUACAUUCUACAUUCUACAGGCCAACAUUCUACAUUCUACAGGCCAACAUUCUACAUUCUACAGGCCAACAUUCUACAUUCUACAGGCCAACAUUCUACAUUCUACAGGCCAACAUUCUACAUUCUACAGGCCAACAUUCUACAUUCUACAGGCCAACAUUCUACAUUCUACAGGCCAACAUUCUACAUUCUACAGGCCAACAUUCUACAUUCUACCGGCCAACAUUCUACAUUCUACUGGCCAACGUUCUACAUUCUACAGGCCAACGUUCUACAUUCCACAGGCCAACAUUCUACAUUCUACCGGCCAACAUUCUACAUUCUACUGGCCAACGUUCUACAUUCUACAGGCCAACGUUCUACAUUCCACAGGCCAACAUUCUACCGGCCAACAUUCUACAUUAUACUGGCCAACAUUCUACAUUCUACUGGCCAACAUUCUACAUUCUACUGGCCAACAUUCUACAUUCUACAGGCCAACAUUCUACAUUCUACAGGCCAACAUUCUACCGGCCAACAUUCUACAUUCUACUGGCCAACGUUCUACAUUCUACCGGCCAACAUUCUACAUUCUACAGGCCAACAUUCUACAUUCUACAGGCCAACAUUCUACCGGCCAACAUUCUACAUUCUACUGGCCAACGUUCUACAUUCCACAGGCCAACUGACUAACUCAACUUGA